GGAGUACACAUAGACAAAAACUUUGAUGACUAAACCAUUGAACAUGGUAUUCCAAGGCAACAGGAUACAAAUGCCAGAAGAUGGUGGUGCAUCCCUUGGAAUUGACCUUAUAGACGGCAUUCUUAGCUACCAUGUGGAGCUGGGAAUAGAACCCUGGUCCUCUGGAAGAACAGCCAUCUCUCCAGCCUCCACUUAUUGCUUCUUAAUGUUCUUCUGAAUUUUAUUUAUUUUCUACAAUAUGUGGAUAUUGGACUUACAGUCAGAAAAAUACAAUGAGUAUGGAUGUUUGUCUUUGUGGUACUAAAGACUGAAUCCAGGACAGUACAAACUAAACACUCUCUGUACUGCUAAACUAUACCACUUGUCCCAUAAUGUAUUCUACAAAAAGAAAACAUAGAAAUCACUGAUGAUCAACAUCUCUCGGAUUUGGCAUCACUACAAUUGAACUGCUUUUAAUUUACUGGUAUCUCUGGAAAAGUCACCUCCCAUAUUUCUCCAAAUAAAGACCAUAUAUAUAUUUAAAGACAAGGUUAUCACCAAGUAGAUCAGGCUGGGUUCAAAGUCACAGAGAUCUUCCAGCCUCCUGAGUGCUGGGAUCUAAAGCAUGUACCACCACACUUGGAUAGGUCUGAUCAAGGUUAUAUAGAUAAAAUAAAUUACGUUUUCAAAUUUAUAACUUAAUACAGUCACUUUAAUUUUUGUAUAAUAAUGUUUUACUCCUAGUUUUAAUAAGGCUGGAGGUGUGUUUAGAUUUCUUGUAUGAAUAACCACAGAGUCCAAAAGCAAUGACCAUUCAUAUUCUCACCUAGUCUUUAUCUAAUUUUUUCCAUUUCUCUGCUGACUAAGCUUACCCACAUUGAACUGUAUACCACUUCCGUAAUGACAGGCAUCACUAACUGGGUCUUUCGCUCCUAACAUGACAUCGGUAAGUAUGAUGGGAGCUCUCAGCUCUCACAGAGAAAUAUUUGUAGAGUUAGGAAGCAUUUGCUUUGCUAUGGAUGGAUGCUAAUAUAAUGAGUUCCAGUCUUGAAUUGUUAAUCCAUCCAUACUUUUUUUGUUUUUGUUUUUUUCCAGACAGGGUUUCUCUGUAUAGCCCUGGCUGGCCUGGAACUCACUUUGUAGACCAGGCUGGCCUCGAACUCAGAAAUCCGCCUGCCUCUGCCUCCAGAGUUCUGGGAUUAAAGGCGUGUGCCACCACCACCCAGCUCCAUCCAUACAUUCUUGAUGGCAUCUUAGUUUUUCACUAUAUUGCUAAAUUCUCUUGGCUAAUAUUUUAUUUAGAUUUUUGGCUUCCAUAGUUAUGAAAGAGAUAGGCCUAUUCUCUGUAUUAUUCUAUGUGGUUUGAAACUCUUUUCUUUUUAAAUAAAUUGGACUUUUGGUUGUUGUUUUUUUUAAA